UACGUAGGUGGCAAGCGUUGUCCGGAUUUACUAGGCGUAAAGAGCGCGCAGGCGGUCGCUCAAGUCGCGUGUGAAAGCCCCCGGCUCAACUGGGGAGGGUCACGCGAUACUGAUCGACUCGAAGGCAGGAGAGGGUAGUGGAAUUCCCGGUGUAGUGGUGAAAUGCGUAGAUAUCGGGAGGAACACCAGUGGCGAAGGCGACUACCUGGCCUGUUCUUGACGCUGAGGCGCGAAAGCUAGGGGAGCAAACGGG
rnacentral:rRNA from 1 species